AAUGUAGCUCAGUGGUGGAGUACAUGCUUAGCAUGCACAAAGCCCUGGGUUCCAUCCCCAGCAUU
rnacentral:tRNA from 1 species